UACGGAGGGUGCAAACGUUGUCCGGAAUCACUGGGCGUAAAGCGCAUGUAGGUGGUUUGGUAAGUGGGUGAUUAAAGACCGAUGCUUAACAUCGGGACUGUUGCCUAUACUGCCUGACUCGAGAAUGACAGGGGUAAGCGGAACUUUAGGUGUAGGAGUGAAAUCCGUAGAUAUCUAAAGGAACACCAAUGGCGAAGGCAGCUUACUGGGUCUUUUCUGACACUGAGAUGCGAAGGCGUGGGGAGCAAACGGG
rnacentral:rRNA from 1 species